rnacentral:rRNA from 1 species
UUAAAGUGCCUUAUAACACUUGGAAACAGGUGCUAAUACCGCAUAACCAUCAAAACCGCCUGGUUUUGAUGUUAAAGAUGGUUCUGCUAUCGCUUUAAGAUGGACCCGCGGCGUAUUAGCUAGUUGGUGAGGUAAUGGCUUACCAAGGCAAUGAUACGUAGCCGAACUGAGAGGUUGAUCGGCCACAUUGGGACUGAGACACGGCCCAAACUCCUACGGGAGGCAGCAGUAGGGAAUCUUCCACAAUGGACGAAAGUCUGAUGGAGCAACGCCGCGUGAGUGAAGAAGGUUUUCGGAUCGUAAAACUCUGUUGUCAUAUAAGAACGUGUGUGAGAGUAACUGUUCACGCAGUGACGGUAUCUGACCAGAAAGUCACGGCUAACUACGUGCCAGCAGCCGCGGUAAUACGUAGGUGGCAAGCGUUGUCCGGAUUUAUUGGGCGUAAAGGGAACGCAGGCGGUCUUUUAAGUCUGAUGUGAAAGCCUUCGGCUUAACCGAAGUCGGGCAUUGGAAACUGGGAGACUUGAGUGCAGAAGAGGAGAGUGGAACUCCAUGUGUAGCGGUGAAAUGCGUAGAUAUAUGGAAGAACACCAGUGGCGAAAGCGGCUCUCUGGUCUGUAACUGACGCUGAGGUUCGAAAGCGUGGGUAGCAAACAGGAUUAGAUACCCUGGUAGUCCACGCCGUAAACGAUGAAUGCUAAGUGUUGGAGG